GCAGUGAUGGUUCAGUGGUAGAAUUCCUGCCUUCUAUGCAGGAGACCCAGGUUCGAUUUUUGGCCAGUGGA
rnacentral:tRNA from 1 species